rnacentral:rRNA from 1 species
GCAAGUCGAACGGCAGCAUUACUUUCGGGUAGAUGGCGAGUGGCGGACGGGUGAGUAACGCGUAGGAAUCUACCCACUAGAGGGGGAUACCAGUUGGAAACGACUGUUAAUACCGGCAUAAUAUCUGCGGAUUAAAGGUUGCCUUUGUGCAGCCGCUAGUGGACGAGCCUGCGUUGGAUUAGUUUGUUGGUGGGGUAAAGGCCUACCAAGCCUACGAUCUAUAGCUGGUUUGAGAGGAUGAUC